rnacentral:tRNA from 5 species
GGAGAGGUGUCUGAGCGGUCGAAGGAGCUCGCCUGGAAAGUGAGUGAAGGGGUCAAACUCUUCCAUGGGUUCAAAUCCCAUCCUCUCCGCCA